rnacentral:lncRNA from 1 species
CAGGACCUUGAAUUCACCAUCAGAUUUGGGGUUUCUCUCUAAGAAGCCAUUCCUCAGAGCCUUGCAUGGGUGAGGCUGGUCAGCAAAGUGCAAGGGGGUAUAUGCCCCUCAAAGAGCAACCUGGAAAGCCUCCAUCCUACCUUGAUUAACCCUGAAAGUGGCUAAUUUCUAUUUUGUGCUUUGCUCAGCUGAAAACUUCAUCCAGUGACACGCAGGCACAGAAGUGCCCUGGUUUGGGAAGGCAGGCAAUUAUUUCCUGCCUGAAGGGAGAAAGUUCAUACCGUGCUGUGCUUUGUGUUUUCUACAGAGCGGAGCCGCUCUGAUCGCUCCCAGGCUUUCUCAGCUGUUUGUCAGUCACCAGCUCUCUUCAUGGACUAUAUAAGGAGCCCAAGUACCUCAUUAAGAUGUUUUCAAUCGCUCUCUGCAGCCACGUGCAUAGCAAUACACAGUGUAAAACCUAAAUUAGGCACUGUUAAAGACUCACAGGAAGAUAUCCAUGGCUUAAGCAUUCUGUCUCCAUGUGAGGGAACAUGUCUGAUCCCAGAAAAGAAUUCUGCCCCAUCACCUCCUCUGCCUUUCUCUGUCACCGUCAUCGAGUGCCUGUUUUUUGUGCUCGGCAUUGGGACAUCACAAGUGGUGGGAUUUUUUUGUGAUGUUUUCGUGACCACGGGGGCCACAGCGCUUGCCAUGUUGUCACUCAUCUUUGGGAUGGGAAGGAGAGGGUCACCACAGAAACAAAAUGGGCAGAAAUCAGCCUGAUUCAGGUGAGUAAGAUGCUUGUUGCCAUUAGAGCACCUACCAUGUGUGGCUCCCCAUGAGUGGUACCCAAACUCUCCACUCUCCCAUGAAGCCAACCUCCCUCUAGAAGACCCUCUGAUAAAAGGUUAACCUCAAUCUCAGUAGUAGCCUAGACCUUGCAUUUAAAGCACCAUAUGUUCCUGGGAGACUUCAGCCUGUCUGCUGCUUAUUUUCCCUUUAUUGCCCUAAAAAAAACCCCCCAGAAUCACUUGCAACUCCCAAGACUUGAGCUCACUGAGGCUGGCUGGAAGCUUUGGGAGGCACCCAGGUGCCACGGUGAGAGAAACUGCUCUGCGGUGCUGUGGUCUGGCUGGAAUUU